GCUCGGACCUCGGCAGCAGGGAGAAGAGAGAGAAACUGAGGCACGGUUAAAAACGGGGGGGGGCCGGAAAUGUGGGGGGCGGACCCCCCCCCCCCCCCCAAAGCUCUGCCCCCCCUCCCCCACCACGUCCCGCCCCACAAGUCGCCCCCUCCCCACCCCACGUUUCUCCCCCCCCGGCCCCACGUCCCCUCCCGUGGGGCGGCAGCGGCGCCCGCGGUGGGACCCGGCCCCACGGCUCGUGCCCCGACCCACAGAGGCCGUGGGGCAGAUGUGGGGCAGAUGUGGGGCAGGGCAGCCCCGCUGUGGGUCACGAUGUGGGGCAGCCCCACUGUGGGUCAGCCCUGCUGUGGGUCAGCAGAAGAUGAGAUGUGGGUCAGGGCUGCUGUGGGUCAGAUGUGGGUGAGAUGUGGGUCAGCCCCAGCCCCUCUGUGGGUCAGACGUGGGGCAGCCCUGCCGUGGGUCAGAUGUGGGUCAGCUGUGGGUCAGCCCCAGCCCCUCUGUGGGUCAGACGUGGGGCAGCCCUGCCAUGGGGCAGCUGUGGGUCAGCCCCGGGCUCAUUGUGGCUCAGCAGGAGAUCAGAUGUGGGGCAGCCCCACUGUGGGUCAGCCCUGCCCUGGGUCAGCCCCAGGCCCACUGUGGGUCAGCAGAAGAUCAGAUGUGGGUCAGGGCUGCUGUGGGUCAGCCCUGGGCUUGCUGUGGGUCAGAUGUGGGUCAGAUGUGGGGCAGCCCCACUGUGGCUCAGCCCUGCCCUGGGUCAGCCUGCUGUGGGUCAGAUGUGGGUCAGCUGUGGGUCAGCCCCAGCCCCUCUGUGGGUCAGAUGUGGGUCAGAUGUGGGGCAGCCCCACUGUGGCUCAGCCCUGCCCUGGGUCAGCCUGCUGUGGGUCAGAUGUGUGUCAGCCCCAGGCCCAGUGUGGGGCAGCCGUGGGGCAGCCCCUCUGUGGGGCAGCCCUGCCGUGGGUCAGAUGUGGGUCAGAUGUGGGGCAGCCCCAGCCCCUCUAUGGGUCGGCCAUGGGUCAGAUGUGGGGCAGGGUCUCUCUGGGUCAGAUGUGGGGCAGCCCCAGGCCCUCUGGAUGUGGGUCAGAUGUGGGGCAGGGUCUCUAUGGGUCAGCCCCAGCCCCUCUGUGGGUCAGAUGUGGGGCAGCCCCUCUGGAUGUGGGUCAGAUGUGGGGCAUGCCGGGCUGCUGUGGGUCAGAUGUGGGUCUCUAUGGGUCGGCCAUGAGUCAGAUGUGGGGCAGCUCCUCUGGAUGUGGGUCAGCUGUGAGUCAGAUGUGGGUCUCUAUGGGUCGGCCGUGGGUCAGAUGUGGGGCAGGGCGGGCAGGCUCUGUGGGUCCCUGUGGGUCUCUAUGGGUCGCAGUGGGUCAGAUGUGGGGCAGGGCGGGCAGGCUCUGUCAGUGGGUCUCUAUGGGUCAGAUGUGGGUCGCAGUGGGUCAGAUGUGGGGCAGGGCGGGCAGGCUCUGGAUGUGGGUCUCUGUGGGUCAGCUGUGGGUCUCAGUGGGUCCCUGUGGGUCAGAUGUGGGUCGCAGUGGGUCAGAUGUGGGGCAGGGCGGGCAGGCUCUGCCGGCAGUCGAUGGCGCCGCGGUCGGGCCCGGUGAAGGCGAGGGGCAGCCCCCCGAGGAA
ensembl:lncRNA